GAGAGGAGCUGCUCCUAGUACGAGAGGACCGGAGUGGACGAACCUCUGGUGCACCGGUUGUCACGCCAGUGGCAUGGCCGGGUAGCUAAGUUCGGACGGGAUAACCGCUGAAAGCAUCUAAGCGGGAAGCCUCCCUCAAGAUGAGUUUUCCCAUGAAGCCCGUUGAAGACUACGACGUUGAUAGGCAAGGUGUGGAAGCGCAGUAAUGCGUGAAGCUAACUUGUACUAAUUGGCUGAUUGUCUUGACCAUAUAAUCUGAG
rnacentral:rRNA from 1 species